rnacentral:lncRNA from 1 species
CUUAUAACAUUUUACACCUAAAUCCUAACCCUACAAAAUUCACCCAGCCACACCACCCCUCUGCCCGCCGCCAAAGUCGCCGGAAAAGGCAUAAUCCGGCGACGCGUUCACUCUCUGGUCCCCAAUAGUCCUCCUCUCUCAUCUUCUCCUUCUUCCACGUCAUCUACCCGUACAUAUCUCAUCAUUACCAUCCAAAACGCAAUUUGAUUUUUCUCCUGGACAGAUUUUGGAUUAAUGGCGGACGUAGGAUUUGAGUACCUUAAAUCGUAUCCUUCCAUUUAUCCCGAAAAUUGUUCAAAAAAGGGAGAAAACAAGGUGAAUUUUUCAGAUUUAAGAAAAGGGAGAUAAUUUUCGAAUUUCUUGGAGGAGAAGUAAGGGGAAGCUUCUAGGCAUCCUAUAAAUAGGGGAUUUUCGGACAGUCUUGAGGGGAAAUUUUUGGGAAAAAAAAAAAGCUAGGGUUUUGGUUUUGAUUUUGAGUCUUCCUCUUUUUCUAAUUUUCAGUUCAUUCAUAGAUAAAAGAGAGAACUGUUUCGUUUUGAUAAUCAAAAAAUAUUUUUUUUUAAAAAAGAAAGGCAUUUCGGUUUCUUCCCUUUCAAUUUUGGGUUGUGAGAUUCAAAAAAUGGAGUUUAGCUGAGCGAGGUCGGAUCGCCAUUCAAGUCCUGCUACUGGUUCGCGGAAUCACUGCUAUUUUACUGGGAUUUUGGAUUCUAAGCCUUGUAAUCGACCUCACUUUUAUUAUCAAAAGAAAGGUUUAAUUCCAGGUUCAUCUCUUUACUCCCUCUUAAUUUGUUCUUGCAUUGAUCGAAAUGUGCUAGUAGCUGAGAUUUCGUUAUGUUGAGAAUGUUCAUGAGCUGGUUUAUGUGAAACCAAUUUGUGAUAUGAUUUUUGUCGAGAAUUCUGCCGUUUUCAUUAAUUUCGGCAUAUCUGCUUUACUCUAUUGGUUCUGUUUGCUACUGAUUCUAUCUUUGAAGUGGUUUAAUCAAUUCGAGUCGUAAAUCUGUAGCGCAGCAAUGUGUUAGGAUCUGAAAGAAACAGAACUAAGGUCUCGUCAUCACCAUCCUAAUUUAUCGCUUUAAUCAAGUCCUUCGGAAGAAAUCAAUGGCUCCAAGUUUUGUUACGGGUUCAUUUUGUUACUUGAGUCUCCUGUUUUGAAACUAAUGUCUGAAUCUCUAAUAUGCUUCUUGUGUUAAACUUUUUAAGCUCAUAUUAAUUGUUCUGGGCAGGGAAUUGUCGCACUUGGCCUGUCGUUUGUGUUUAGGUUCGUUUGCCAUUGAUUCCUCCUUUACUACAGUUAAUUAGUGUAAAAUCUAAAGAAGAUUUUUGGCUUCUGCUUCUACUCUCAUUUUUGGCUUUCUUGUUGUUUCAAAAUUUUCUCAAUGCUAUGUCUAAUUGUUUAAACUAUACUGUUAAUUCCUCCAAAACAAAUGGUAGUUUUGUUAAUUAUUCUUUUAAAAUCAACUGAAUAAGAUUUCUCUUAGG